CGCGACAGCCGCGGCAGGCGGAACGGGAGCGGCGGAGGGAAGCUGCCUUCGCACAGCCCCCGCCCCGCCGGGAGCCGGCAUUCCCCAGACAGCCGCGGCAGGCGGAACGGGAGCGGCGGGGCUGAGCUGCCUUCCAGCCCCGCUCCCGGGCGGCCGGAUGCCGCGCAGGCGUCAGGCGGCUCCUUGCAGGGAGCAGGAAAAGCUUACGCGUGGAGAGCCGUGGAGACACGUCGGUAUUGUUGGGAGUAAUUCUCCGUUCGAUGCAGUUUCCCUUCCUCCGUAUAAUGGAAGGAAAAUCCAUGGCUUGGCCUGAGUGCAGGUUCCCCUCUUUGCAUGGUUGUUAAUAGUGACUCCUCCUGCAAGAAAAAAGGACAGCUGGGCUCCAGGACAGCUUCAGGCAGGCUUAACACAUGCAGUGACAUUCAAAAGUACUCUGACGUGUCCAAGCACCACCCAAGACUGUAGUAUGCAUUCUUCAUCUUUCUUUUACUGAGUAAUACAAAGCAACUGCUAGAACCAGUCCCUAGCCUACUGUCUUUUGCUUGUUUGUUUGUUCAUUAAAUAACUUACAAUCAUCCCAAAAGUUUAGAAGUCUGUUAUUGCAGGUACAAGGAAGGUAUAAUUUUAAAAUAUUUUCCUUUGAAAUGGAUUUAUUUGUGAUCUAAUCUGGUGGUCUGUUACUAAUGCAUGAAUUGGCAUACUUUUGUCACCAAUAAACAAUAUCUACCAUGGUC